rnacentral:rRNA from 1 species
UACAGAGGUCUCAAGCGUUGUUCGGAUUCAUUGGGCGUAAAGGUGCGUAGGCGGCGCGGUAAGUCGGGUGUGAAAUCUCGGAGCUUAACUCCGAAAACUGCAUUCGAUACUGCCGUGCUUGAGGACUGGAGAGGAGACUGGAAUUUACGGUGUAGCGGUGAAAUGCGUAGAUAUCGUAAGGAAGACCAGUGGCGAAGGCGGGUCUCUGGACAGUUCCUGACGCUGAGGCACGAAGGUCAGGGGAGCAAACGGG